AUCUGUGGAGUCUCUGCUGCAAUUUUAGUCAAUGUUCUAGCUGGUUAAAACUCGUGAGAGGGGCUGAUAUGAUGAUAUUUGUGGCGUUUUAGAUAUGAAAGGCUUUUAAGCAGGCGGUGCAUUGUGUGAAACAUCAAAGGUCGUCAUGGUUUAGCUGUAGUUCAGAGGCUUUUUCUCCAGACAGGGUGACUGACAGCAGGGACUGGGACAAGGGACUUUGGUGCUACUGACGUGAGCUAGCAUCGCAACUUAGCUAGACGCUUUGAGUCAGCUUUACUGCUGCGACAGUUGUUGUCCAGCGUUGGCGUUUAGCCCUCAGCUGUCUCUGGCUGCUGCUUGCUAAUGUGUAGCUAUAGUUAUUGCCUCCCAGUGGUGGAAAAAGUAUUCAGAUCUUUUAACGAUUCCUUGAGCAGUUUGAGAUCCUUGAGAGAUUCUCAGGGCAGCAUGGCUCCCAAAGACAUCAUGACCAACUCCCAUGCCAAGUCCAUCCUCAACGCCAUGAACUCACUUCGCAAGAGCAACACACUCUGUGAUAUCACUCUGAGGGUGGAGAACACAGAUUUUCCGGCUCACCGGAUUGUUUUAGCCGCCUGCAGUGACUAUUUCUGUGCCAUGUUCACCAGUGAGCUUUCAGAGAAGGGGAAAUCUUUUGUGGACAUUCAGGGACUCACUGCAUCGACUAUGGAGAUCUUGUUGGACUUUGUGUACACAGAGACGGUGCUCGUCACAGUGGAGAACGUACAAGAACUGCUCCCUGCAGCCUGCUUACUGCAGCUCAAAGGGGUAAAAAGAGCGUGUUGCGAUUUCUUGGAGAGUCAGCUUGAUCCCUCCAACUGCCUGGGUAUUCGUGACUUUGCCGAAACUCACAAUUGCCUGGACCUGAUGCAGGCGGCCGAGCUCUUUUCCCAGAAGCAUUUCUCUGAGGUGGUUCAGCAUGAGGAGUUCAUGCUGCUCAGCCAGACGGAAGUUGAAAAGCUCAUAAAAUGUGAUGAAAUCCAGGUGGACUCAGAGGAGCCUGUAUUUGAAGCCGUGUUAAACUGGGUCAAACACAACCGCAAGGAGCGAGAGCCCUACCUGCCCGACAUGCUGGAGUUUGUUCGGUUGCCGCUCCUGACCCCACGCUACAUCACAGAUGUCAUUGAUGCAGAGCCCCUCAUUCGGUGUAGCCUGCCAUGUCGAGACCUCGUUGAUGAAGCCAAGAAAUUCCACUUAAGACCGGAGCUGAGGAGUGAGAUGCAGGGCCCACGCACACAAGCUAGAUUAGGUGCCAAAGAAGUCCUGUUGGUUAUAGGCGGGUUUGGCAGCCAGCAAUCACCAAUAGACAUAGUAGAGAAAUAUGAUCCGAAAACACAAGAAUGGAGCUCCCUUCCUAACAUUGCACGGAAAAGGCGUUAUGUCGCCACGGUGUCUCUCCACGACCGAGUGUAUGUGAUCGGAGGCUACGACGGUCGGUCGAGGCUCAGCUCCGUGGAGUGCCUGGACUACACAGCGGACGAGGACGGGGUUUGGUACACCGUCGCCACCAUGAAUGUGCGUCGAGGCCUCGCUGGAGCCACGACACUCGGAGACAUGAUCUAUGUUGCCGGUGGCUUCGAUGGCAGCCGGCGUCACACCAGCAUGGAGCGAUACGACCCAAACAUUGACCAGUGGAGCAUGCUGGGAGAUAUGCAGACAGCUAGAGAAGGAGCUGGUCUAGUGGUGGCAAGUGGACUUAUAUACUGUCUAGGUGGAUAUGAUGGACUAAAUAUCCUGAAUUCAGUGGAGCGGUACGACCCGCACACGGGCCACUGGACCAGUGUUACUCCGAUGGCCACCAAGCGGUCAGGCGCCGGUGUAGCUUUACUCAACGACCACAUCUAUGUCGUGGGAGGCUUUGAUGGUGUUUCACACCUCGACUCUGUCGAGGUCUACAACAUCAGAACAGACUAUUGGACCACUGUGGCCAGUAUGACGACGCCUCGAUGUUACGUAGGAGCGACCGUCCUCAGAGGACGUCUCUACGCCAUCGCCGGAUAUGAUGGGAACUCUCUCCUCAGCAGCAUUGAAUGUUACGACCCGGUCAUCGACUCCUGGGAGGUCGUCACUUCGAUGGCGACGCAGCGAUGCGACGCAGGCGUCUGUGUUCUACGAGAAAAGUGAUCUCUGCCGAGAACCACAAAAGGAAAAGCAAACGCAAGGACAGGCGGCUAGACCUUUUGCUAAAAUGCCACUAAAACGGAGCCAAACAAAGGGAGAUGUUUGUUCGCCAGUAUGCAAAUGGUUACUCUGGAAAAAAAGAAUAGGUGCAGCGGUUUGGACUGCCUUAUCUAACGGAUGGUCAACCCUUCGACAGUCGGACUGUGCAGCAGAGAUCGGUGGCAGACUUCACCUCAAAAGAGGCCUCCGACGAGCCCAUCACCACUUGCAUGACUCUUCGGUGGUACAUGUUGCUGUGGUUACCUGUGAGAUUAUUUUUUCAGUUUGUCUUCAAAGUGCAAUAUAUUUCUACACAUCAUAAAACAGAAAGAGAUGGAGUUGGUUUAGACUCCGGUUGCUGCUAUAUGCCUUAUGACUUUGGCCUCCAUCAAACAGUGAACAUCCAUGUUGCCUCCCAUGUGACUUUGAUGACAGUUACAGUACAUCGGCUUAUCAUCGAGUGUACUUGUUUGGCAUUUGCGAGGUCAUUAAUGGGUCACUAAUUCAACCCUUUUUUGUAAUCCCUUCCGUUAACAGUGCUUUUGGAUUCAAAUCGCUUUCAUACAGAAGGUUUAAUACUUAUUGUUGCUCUCAAAAUAUAUAUUUAGAGAUCAAUAUUGUUUUAGCAAAUGACUGAAUUGUACCAGUUGACUUUGAUUAUUUUGUCCCUAAAAAAAAAAAAUCACAAAGUAAUAAGUAUAAGGUGCAUGUGAUUUUUUUUUUUAUUUUUUUUUUCUUCCUCCGCUUAUAAAUCUGGACAUGUUCAUGUAGGACACAAAGUCCUAACAUUGUUGCCUGGGAAGUGAAUAAACACGCUGAAAACUGACGCGUUUCCUCCUCUCAGUCUGUAAACACUUGCUAAGUGAUGCAGAGAGACUAAAGGCUGUAUAUUCGCUUCACACGUCGUCAGCUGAGUCAGUGGCAUCACCAUCCACAUCCACGUGAGACGGAUCAUCAAGCCACUCGAAGCAGCAGAUUCAACAAACUAAACAAGCCAGAAGAAGCCCCACCGCCAGACAGACACACCAGGUGAGUCUGUUUCUGUCUGCAGGUAUAAAGAGCAGCUGGCAGCGCGGCGGGCGGUACAGAGCUGAUCGGAGGAGACACGGUACUGGUCCCGGAUCAGUGCAGAGGAAGGGUCGGUCUGUUUGGAGCAUUGAGGACAGACGAAUAAACUCAGUG